rnacentral:tRNA from 1 species
AGAAAAUAUUAUAAGAUUGGUAGCGCGUUUGUUUUGGGUACAAAAUGUCACGGGCUCAAAUCCUGUCAUCCCUA